CCCUCCUUCACUGGGUUGUCUGCGCUACACACACCACCUUCCCAACCGUUCAAGCAAGAUGUCUGGAUUACAUCAGUCUGUGGCUUUGGGAGACAACAGUCGGGGUACUCGAAUGGUGAAUGCCUGUCUUGGCCGCCGCCGACACAAGCCCAAGGGUGACCGCACACGCCGGAGCUGGACUGAACGGGAGGAGGAAACGCUAGUUGUCUAGUUGAAGGAGAUCUCUGUCACCGGAUGGAAAGCUGACAAUGGAUUCCGGGCAGGUUAUCUCACACAGCUUGAAAAUGCAAUGAAGCAGCAGUUUCCGAACACAGACAUAAAGGGCACUCCGCACAUCAACUCCAAAUUAACCGCUUGGAAGAAGUUAUACAACUCGUUGGUACGAAUGCUUGAUCGCAGUGGAGUGGGCUUCAGCAUCGACUACAAGAUAGAUUGUGAUGACCAUCAGUGGGAGCAGAUUGUUAAGGCUGAUCCUGAUGCACGUUUGAUGAGGGACAAGAGUUGGCCGUAUUUCGAGCAUUGGCAAGUAAUUUUUGGCAAAGACCGUGCUGAUGGUACAUUUUCA